AGAAAGUUACCAUAUUCGGAAGCCUUCUUGCGUAGGUGGAAGGAGCAGAAAUGAAGGGCGAAAGCAUGUUGCAGUUGUUUGGAGAGGAAGGUAACCUCUCCUGAUAGCACAGCACAGCCCCCGAAAUGGCGGAUCGCAUAUGUGAAUGUGGAUAAAUCUCAUCUGCAUGCCGAGUUCAUUUCCUUGAACCUCCCCAACUCUCUUCUUCCUGUCUCGUCAGAAGCAGAAGCAGAAGCAGAAGCAGCCUUCGCUCGCGGGCAGGAGUCGCGAGACAUGGCGAGCGACGAAGACUACGCGAAGAAGCAGGCGAGCCAGAUCCGGCAGUCCAGGAAGUUCAAGGCGUUCGUGGUGGCCCUCAUCAUCGUCGUCAACGUCCUCGCCGUCUACAUCUUCACCAGCGGGGGGCCGUCUCGGCUGGACCUCAACCAGAUAUCCCGCUACACCCAGCAGCUCUCCCUGCCGCUCUCCUCCUGCGACACCGCCCCUCUCAUUGCCGACCUCAACUUCACCCGCGCCCAGCUCUACUCCACUCACUCCCGCAUCGCCGAGCUCCACGAGCACCUCACCUCCGCCAACGCCCUCAUCGAAUCCCUCCUCACCCAGCUCACCCGCCUCAACGAGCGAGAACGCUCGUCGUCCGACCAAACCAACUACCGCGCCGACCUCUUCAGCGCCACCAAUUUGCCGGAGGAGCUGAGGCUGGCCAUCGGCCCCCAAAAGCUCCCGCUCGGCAACUCCCCUAGGGUCGGCUCGGACGUGGUGCUCCCGCCCGUGGGAGCCGCCUGCCUCAUGUUCAGGGAGGAGCUGGCCGAGUACAUGUCGUACCAGGUCGGGGCCGAGUGCCCCGUCGACGACGCCCUGUCGCAGAAGCUCAUGGUGAAGGGAUGCGAGCCUCUCCCUAGGAGGAGAUGCCACCCGAAGACUCCGGCCAAUUCCGCAGAGCCGAUCCCGUUCCCGCAGGCCCUGUGGACCACCCCGCCCGACAACAGCAUCGCAUGGGACGCAUACCAGUGCAAGAGCUACCAGUGCCUCAUCGACCGGAGGACAAGCCCGGGGUCUUCGACUGCAAGGACUGUUUCCACCUGGAGGGACGGGAGAAGCACCGGUGGAUGUUCGACAACGGCAAUCUCGACUACGGGAUGGAUCAGGUGCUGGCCACCAGGCCGCGGGGCACCAUUCGGAUUGGCCUAGACAUUGGGGGAGGGAGCGGGACGUUCGCAGCCAGGAUGAGGGAACGGAACGUGACUAUCGUCACGACCACGAUGAACUACGACGGCCCCUUCAACAACUUCAUCGCGUCCAGGGGCCUGCUCUCGAUGCACAUGACCGUCGCGCAGAGGCUGCCCUUCUUCGAGAACACGCUGGACAUAGUGCACUCCAUGCACGUCCUGAGCAACUGGAUCCCAGACUCGAUGCUCGAGUUCACUCUGUACGACAUAUACCGGGUGCUGAGACCAGGCGGGCUAUUCUGGCUCGAUCACUUCUUCUGCCUCGGGCCGCAGCUGAACGGGACGUACGUGCCGAUGUUCGAUCGGGUCGGGUUCAAGAGGGUGAGGUGGAACGUCGGCAGGAAGGUCGAUCGCGGAGGGAACGAGUGGUACUUCUCCGCCCUCCUGGAAAAGCCCAGGACUUAGAUCAGUUGAUCCACUCCACUCAAAACACACGAGCAAUCAAAUCUUGCUCUCUUUUCCUUGUUCCUUUUUUCCUUAAUUCCAAAUUUGACUUCUUGUUUCUGUUUACAAUAACAUCAUGCCAAGUACUUUGCGUUCGUGUCCCCAUGUUAGACAAGAUUAACAGGACCAAUUCAUGUAAGGGAAGAAAAAACAAGAAUGUAGCAGAGCGUUUGAUUUCAUUACUUGUCAUUUGAUGUAGCAUCAUAACUCAAGGGGCACUCUGUAAUUCCAGCAAAUAAGAGAAAAGUGGUAUUGUAUUCGCAAUUGUAAUUAAAGAAUAUUUCUGGCAAGAAAGUUUCUGCAGAUAUUUA